rnacentral:tRNA from 1 species
GUCGUAUCCACGAUAUUCAAGCCGUUUUAAGCCUUUCAGUAGCAACGGAGCUGCAUUUUGCCAUCCAAUAUAU